rnacentral:misc_RNA from 1 species
AAGCACUAGGACUGGAAGUUACAAAAGUUCCUUCAAAAUCAACGCAACAUCUUGAUGAGACGGAGAUUGCGAAGCAGAUGGAUAAAUUAUCCGAAAAACUGGAUGACGUGGAUAGGAUGAUAUCCUCCGCUGUCGCUGCAGAUACACAAGUUGGGUCUCUCUUAAGCAGUACCGCUGAUCUUUGGAUGCCAGUUAUUACAGCUGGUUCUGAGGAAAGGCGUAACCUCAAUGCG